rnacentral:rRNA from 1 species
ACUCAAAUGAAUUGACGGGGACCCGCACAAGCGGUGGAUGAUGUGGUUUAAUUCGAUGCAACGCGAAAAACCUUACCUACCCUUGACAUGCCAGGAAUUCCAUAGAGAUAUGGAAGUGCUCGAAAGAGAACCUGGGCACAGGUGCUGCAUGGCCGUCGUCAGCUCGUGUCGUGAGAUGUUGGGUUAAGUCCCGCAACGAGCGCAACCCUUGUCAUUAGUUGCUACGAAAGGGCACUCUAAUGAGACUGCCGGUGACAAACCGGAGGAAGGUGGGGAUGACGUCAGGUCCUCAUGGCCCUUAUGGGUAGGGCUACACACGUCAUACAAUGGCCGGUACAGAGGGCUGCCAACCCGCGAGGGGGAGCUAAUCCCAGAAAACCGGUCGUAGUCCGGAUUGCAGUCUGCAACUCGACUGCAUGAAGUCGGAAUCGCUAGUAAUCGCGGAUCAGCUUGCCGCGGUGAAUACGUUCCCGGGUCUUGUACACACCGCCCGU